rnacentral:rRNA from 1 species
GACGAACGCUGGCGGCGUGCCUAAUACAUGCCAGUAGAACGCUGAAGGAGGAGCUUGCUUCUCUGGAUGAGUUGCGAACGGGUGAGUAACGCGUAGGUAACCUGCCUGGUAGCGGGGGAUAACUAUUGGAAACGAUAGCUAAUACCGCAUAAUAGCAGUUAUUGCAUGAUAACUGUUUGAAAGGUGCAAUUGCACCACUACCAGAUGGACCUGCGUUGUAUUAGCUAGUUGGUGGGGUAACGGCUCACCAAGGCGACGAUACAUAGCCGACCUGAGAGGGUGAUCGGCCACACUGGGACUGAGACACGGCCCAGACUCCUACGGGAGGCAGCAGUAGGGAAUCUUCGGCAAUGGACGGAAGUCUGACCGAGCAACGCCGCGUGAGUGAAGAAGGGUUUCGGAUCGUAAAGCUCUGUUGUAAGAGAAGAACGAGUGUGAGAGUGGAAAGUUCACACUGUGGCGGUAUCUUACCAGAAAGGGACGGCUAACUACGUG